UAGGGAAUCUUCCGCAAUGGGCGAAAGCCUGACGGAGCAACGCCGCGUGAGUGAUGAAGGUCUUCGGAUCGUAAAACUCUGUUAUUAGGGAAGAACAAAUGUGUAAGUAACUAUGCACGUCUUGACGGUACCUAAUCAGAAAGCCACGGCUAACUACGUGCCAGCAGCCGCGGUAAUACGUAGGUGGCAAGCGUUAUCCGGAAUUAUUGGGCGUAAAGCGCGCGUAGGCGGUUUUUUAAGUCUGAUGUGAAAGCCAACGGCUCAACCGUUGAGGGUCAUUGGAAACUGGAAAACUUGAGUGCAGAAGAGGAAAGUGGAAUUCCGUGUGUAGCGGUGAAAUGCGCAGAGUUAUGGAGGAACACCAGUGGCGAAGGCGACUUUCUGGUCUGUAUCUGACGCUGAUGUGCGAAAGCGUGGGGAUCAAACAGG
rnacentral:rRNA from 1 species